rnacentral:rRNA from 1 species
UCGAUUGAGUUUGAUCAUGGCUCAGGACGAACGCUGGCGGCGCGCUUAACACAUGCAAGUCGAGCGAGAACCAGCCCUUCGGGGCUGGGGACAGCGGCGAACGGGUGAGUAUCACGUGGGUGAUCUGCCCUCGGUACUGGGAUAGCCCGGGGAAACCCGGAUUAAUACCGGAUGGCCUUUCAAGCUUUCGGGCUGGAAAGAAAAGGUAGCUUCGGCCUCCGACCGAGGAUGAGCCCGCGGCGGAUUAGCUAGUUGGUGGGGUAAUGGCCCACCAAGGCAACGAUCCGUAGCUGGUCUGAGAGGACGAUCAGCCACACUGGGACUGAGACACGGCCCAGACUCCUACGGGAGGCAGCAGUGGGGAAUCUUGUCCAAUGGGCGAAAGCCUGAGACAGCGACGCCGCGUGCGGGAAGAAGGCCUUCGGGUUGUAAACCGCUUUCAGGAGGGACGAAGCCACUCGGGUUAAUAGCCCAGAGGGUGACGGUACCUCCAGAAGAAGCCCCGGCUAUCUACGUGCCAGCAGCCGCGGUAAUACGUAGGGGGCAAGCGUUGUCCGGAUUUAUUGGGCGUAAAGAGCGUGUUGGCGGCUUGGUAGGUCCGUUGUGAAAACUCGAGGCUCAACCUCGAGACGUCGAUGGAAACCAUCUGGCUAGAGUCCGGAAGAGGAGAGUGGAAUUCCUGGUGUAGCGGUGAAAUGCGCAGAUAUCAGGAAGAACACCCGUGGCGAAGGCGGCUCUCUGGGACGUGACUGACGCUGAGACGCGAAAGCGUGGGGAGCGAACAGGAUUAGA